rnacentral:misc_RNA from 1 species
AACUGGCCAAGAAGUUGAUAAGACCAACAGGGUUAUUCGUUGAAGACUUUGCUAAUGAUUCUCUUCUGACGGAAAUGAAAUUCGGGUCUGUGAAUAGGGUUUUUGCAGUUUGCAAGGAAGAUGAAGUGAUGAAGGAGGAAUUUCAAGAAUUCAUGAUCAGGAAAAGUCCACCUAAAGAAGUGAAGGUGAUUAAGGAAUGUGGAGACACGGUCAUGCUUUCAA